rnacentral:rRNA from 1 species
AGAGUUUGAUCCUGGCUCAGGACGAACGCUGGCGGCGUGCUUAACACAUGCAAGUCGAACGGUAAGGCCCUUUUUUGGGGUACACGAGUGGCGAACGGGUGAGUAACACGUGAGUAACCUGCCCUCAUCUCUGGGAUAACAGUCGGAAACGGUUGCUAAUACUGGAUAUGAGCUUGCAAGGCAUCUUGUGGGUUGGAAAGAUAUUUUUUGGUUGGGGAUGGACUCGCGGCCUAUCAGCUUGUUGGUGAGGUAGUGGCUCACCAAGGCUUCGACGGGUAGCCGGCCUGAGAGGGCGACCGGCCACAUUGGGACUGAGAUACGGCCCAAACUCCUACGGGAGGCAGCAGUGGGGAAUAUUGCACAAUGGACGGAAGUCUGAUGCAGCAACGCCGCGUGCGGGAUGACGGCCUUCGGGUUGUAAACCGCUUUCAAUUGUGACGAAGCUUUUUGUGACGGUAGCAGUAGAAGAAGCACCGGCUAACUACGUGCCAGCAGCCGCGGUGAUACGUAGGGUGCGAGCGUUGUCCGGAUUUAUUGGGCGUAAAGAGCUUGUAGGCGGUUUGUCGCGUCGGGAGUGAAAACUUGGGGCUUAACUCUGAGCUUGCUUUCGAUACGGGCUGACUUGAGGGAGGUAGGGGAGAAUGGAAUUCCUGGUGGAGCGGUGGAAUGCGCAGAUAUCAGGAGGAACACCGGUGGCGAAGGCGGUUCUCUGGACCUUUCCUGACGCUGAGAAGCGAAAGCGUGGGGAGCGAACAGGCUUAGAUACCCUGGUAGUCCACGCCGUAAACGGUGGGUACUAGGUGUGGGGGACAUUCCACGUUCUCCGUGCCGUAGCUAACGCAUUAAGUACCCCGCCUGGGGAGUACGGCCGCAAGGCUAAAACUCAAAGGAAUUGACGGGGCCCCGCACAAGCGGCGGAGCAUGCGGAUUAAUUCGAUGCAACGCGAAGAACCUUA